GACGAACGCUGGCGGCGUGCUUAACACAUGCAAGUCGAACGAUGAAGUUCCUUCGGGAAUGGAUUAGUGGCGAACGGGUGAGAAACACGUGAGAAACCUGCCUUUCAUUUUGGGAUAACUCCGGGAAACCGGAGCUAACACCGAAUACUCCGUCUCGGCGGCAUCGCUGAGCCGGGAAAAAAUUAUGAUGAAAGAUGGUCUCGCGGCCUAUCAGCUAGGUGGUGAGGUAAUGGCUCACCAAGGCGACGACGGGUAGCCGGCCUGAGAAGGCGACCGGCCACACUAGGACUGAGACACGACCCAGACUCCUACGGGAGGCAGCAGUGGGGAAUAUUGGGCAAUGGGCGCAAGCCUGACCCAGCGACGCCGCGUGAGGGAUGAAGGCCUUCGGGUUGUAAACCUCUUUCAGUAGGGAAGAAGCGAAAGUGACGGUACCUAAAGAAGAAGCACCGGCUAACUAUGUGCCAGCAGCCGCGGUAA
rnacentral:rRNA from 1 species